GACCCCGCCUCACAUGGGCAAGAUGGCGGCGCCCAGAGCCGUCAACGUGCUGCGGAGCGGAGUGGUGAAGGCUCAUAUCCAUAAGGAAAUUUCAGUUUGACUGGACUCUUGGAAUCUGAGCAUCAGCUGAACUCUGGGAAGAGCUGCAACAUUUGGCCUUCAGAGUCUCCUGUUUGUUUUAUGUCCAACAGCUGUCAAAACCUUCACUCUUCCACAUGUGUGGAAGUGUGUGGAAUGAAUGGAAUCACACUUUUUAGUAUAUAAUACCAUGCAAACAAUGAUUUUUUUGGUUUAAAUCUCAAAUGAAUUGAAAUUUAGUGUGCA